GACGAACGCUGGCGGCGUGCUUAACACAUGCAAGUCGAACGGAAAGGCCCUUCGGUUUACUCGUGUUCGGAAGGCGAGAGGAUGAGGUGCACGAGAUUCACCGCACCUUGGGAUAAGGCUAACAAACGGGAACUAAUACUGAAACGGGAUACGAGCUUCUGCUGCAUGGUUGGAAAGCUUUAGCGGUGGGGGUUGGGCCUGCGGCCUAUCAGCUUGUUGGUGGGGUAGUGGCCUACCAAGGCCAAGACGGGUAGCCGGCCUGAGAGGGUGACCGGCCACAUUGGGACUGAGAUACGGCCCAGACUCCUACGGGAGGCAGCAGUGGGGAAUAUUGCACAAUGGGCGGAAGCCUGAUGCAGCGACGCCGCGUGCGGGAUGACGGCCUUCGGGUUGUAAACCUCUUUCGAUUGUGACGAAGCGUGAGUGACGGUACCUAGAGAAGAAGCACCGGCUAACUACGUG
rnacentral:rRNA from 1 species